AUGGGAUCCGUCUCCUGUGAGCAGUCGCCUUGCCUCACGUAUCCUCAAACAGGGCAGAGGAAGGCAGCCAGGAACAGACCCAAGCCUACCAAGUCCCAUGGAUAGAGAAAAUGUACAGAUCUACAGACACGUGGAGCUAUUGGUGUGCUGUGCAAACUAAAAUUCACUAGAAUACCCACCUCCUAAUGUAUUUGAGUUUAUAGGAUUCAGCUGUUGGGCCCAGAAGACUGGAAUUCUAGUGAGUUACUGGAGAUAGGCUGCAAGAAGAUACCUAGCAAAACUAUUAGAGAUAUUUGAUUCAGGCUCUUGAAGAAAAAGGAUAGUGUGUAGAGAAGAAGUAUGGCUACAGUUAUGCUGAGAGCCUUGAACAGGGAGAGUGAGCUUGGACCACAGGAGUCUUAGAAGAAAGAAACACUUCCCAAUGUUAUAUCCCUGAACACUCUGGCUGCUGUAGUUUUCUGAGCAGUGGAAGUUAAAAGGAUUAGGAAGCAAGAAUUCUCAACAGAAGGAAGAGACUCCAGCUUCUCUUCUGCCAUCCUCUCAUCACUGGACUAAUUCAAUGUGACAAACUUCCUGAGGAUGCCCACUUUGAACAAGGACAGAUGUACCAAUGUCCAAUAUUCCCAUCCCUCCAGCAAGAACUGAAGGAUUUCUUAUGGGUACUUCACUGUCAGGCUACUAAUGACAUCAGCCACAAUCUGAAGCCACUGUUUUUCCUGGUCUUCUAAAAGAUCUACUAGACAAGUGGAGUAUAUAUGGAGAUGAAGCCCUGGCAAUGUAAGAAAGAGAUCAGCAUUUCCCCAACAGGAAGGAAUAGGUCUGAGAUCUGUUUCUGGAGUGCUGGGAGGAGGAGCAAAGCCCCUCAUUUCUAACAAGUUGGGAACAUGGAAGCCGCUGUCUCCUGCACUACACUUCAAUUAUUAAAGAGAUUAUAAGAACAUUCUAUGAUGUUGAUAAGGAUGGAAAAGUAUCACAUUUCCUUUAGAUGAUGACACUAGGACUGGUUACAUCAUAGCCCAAGAGCCCUCAUCCAGUGGCUGAUGGAAGCAGAGGCAGACAUCCACAGAUACACAUGGAACUGAACUCUGGAACUUAGUUGCAGAGAGGGAGG
rnacentral:lncRNA from 1 species